rnacentral:rRNA from 1 species
GUCUCUUUGUAAGUAUAAAGAGUCCGGUCUGCCCACUGAUGAGUGCAUUAAAGGGCCGCAGUAUUUUAACUGUGCAAAGGUAGCAUAAUCACUAGUUCUUUAAUUGAGAUCUUGAAUGAAUGAUUAGACAAAAAAAUUACUGUCUUUAUAAUAAUAGUUGAAUUUAACUUUUGAGUGAAAAGGCUUAAAUAAUUUAAAGUGACGAUAAGACCCUAUAAAGCUUAAUAUUAUUGUAAAAUUUUUGGUAAUUUAAAUAUAAAGGUUUAAGGUUUAUUAAUAUUUUAUUGGGGCGAUAGAAGUAAAAAGUUUAAUAACUGCUUUUUUUUUAAUCAAGUAUGAAUGGUUAGUAUGUAAGUGAUCUUAUUUAUAGAGUAAAAGAUUAAGUUACUUUAGGGAUAACAGCGUUAUUUUUCUUGAGAGUUCUUAUCGAAAGAAAAGAUUGCGACCUCGAUGUUGAAUUAAAAUAUCUGUGUAAUUGUAGCGGUUAUAUAAGAAGGUCUGUUCGACCUUUAAAUUUUU